GUAGUAUAACAGUAUAAUGAGGUGCAGUCUAUUAACUUAUGCUUUAUUCUCAGUAACUAUUCAGUUUUAGUAUUUUCUAAUUGAAAUGUACCCAGUCCUUGUUUGGGAUAUGUUGUUAUUUGGGAUACAUUUUCCCUUUUAUAGUUUGUAACCAGUAUGUGAUAGUUCAAGUACAUAUUUUCUCUAAUUACAGGUACAAGAAAUUCACGACCUACUUCCAUUGACUCUUCACUCGUCUAGAGUGUUGGGCAUUCAGCUAUCAGGAGGAGCUGCCAACCUGAGGGAGUGACACCAAUAAGGCAGCAUGCGGAUCCUUAAGGGUAAACCCCUCCAGAGGACGAAAGUGUUAAAUCCCCCUGCGCCUGACGGCUUACUAUGAGGAACGGGUGACUGACAUUGUCCUUGGCCGCUCGGAAAUGUUCCAGAACUCACAUUUUCUGGCACAGGAUAGUAGCGUCAACCCAUCUGACAUUGAGCAGGUGUGCAGGGAGGAAGCAGUACAGGGUGAAGGGCACCACACCAGGCCUGACCUAUACUGCGGACAUGCAUUUGUUCAGUAGGGCACAUGGGAGCUCCAUGCAGACACCAGGCUGCUGUGGUCCAGAUAUACAAAUGCCUGUCCAGCAACAUCCUCCUGACAACAUUGGAGAUGAGGGAUGAGUUGCUGAAGACAACAGGAGAUGGAUACUCUUUCACUACCUGUGGUGUGGGAAAAGGAUACAUCAACACCCUGAAGAGAUGUUUGUGGUGCACUCACUCAUAACACGUUUUUGAGUGAUUAAUGAGUAUCAUCUUCAAGGUUGGUAAGAAGCAAUCAGUUACAAGUCAAAAAGACAGAUUGAGGCCUUCAAUCGAACUGAGGACAGAGAAAUAUGUGUGCACCGGGUCAAGGCUUCUUGCAUGCAUAACUUUUAGAUGUAAGUUCUUCAAUUAAUUUUGGAAAAAUAAAAUGAAUUGCCAUAUUUCUUCUGCCCAAGCCUCAUACACCUUAGUCAGGAAGAAGAGAAUACUAGUAGACGACUGGCUCUUAAUGAUUAAGUCUAGAUUGAAGAUCAUAAUUAGUUGAUUAGUUUGAAUCAAUUGUGUUGAGGCUUGGCUGUAGAAAAAUAUUGUAUGUGGCUCUUUAAGACAGGGGGCACCAAUGUUUUGUGGGAGGGUGCGGGACCUUCCCUGAUUUGAGGGAACAAUAUAUUUUUUACGAAUCAUUUACGUUUUGGUUAUACCGAUUUUUAAAACAAUGCAUAAAUGCGAUAUGCUUUAGGCUAAAAACAGGUGGUUAAAUGCCUGAGGAAGAUGUGACUCUGCACAUGGGAAUAUCUUUGGUAUGUCUCUGACAUUCAGAAGCUGAGGUAAGACCUUCUGAAGUCGAGGAGUCAAAGAAAUUAUACUUAUACAAUGUGUGACUGUCGCUAUCAAUUGUUCGAUUGAUCUGUGUUAAAAAUGGUGCCGGAGAAGAAGGCAGACGUUUUAUGUGUCCCCAACCGAUUUUGUUUUUUUGUUUGUUUAUUUGUAUUGUUUGUAACUUACAAAAUAAGUUUAAAAAGUAUGUAAUAUUACUGCUACCGUCUCUUAUGACCGAAAAUAACUUCUGGACAUCAGGACUGCGAUUACUCACCACGGACUGGCAGAAUCCUUUUUCUCCUUUAAUGAGUCUGAUGAGGCCGACUCGAAUGAUACUGCUUUCUCGGGAACAGGCCCAGAUCCCGGUGAUUUGCGUGAAGAGGAGAAAGAGAAAGGGGCCAGAGGGCAGGCGGCCUUCUGAGAAUUCAUAGGUGAUCGAAUAAACCCCCACUUCCUUCCAUUCUAUAGCAAACAUGCAAUCUUUGAAGAAUAAAAUCGAUGACCUACGUGGGAAGAUUAAACUACCAACGGGGACAUAUCUUAUGCUUCACAGAGUUGUGGCUGAACGACGACACUAUCAACAUACAGCUGGCUGGUUAAACACUGUAGAUAGAACAGCAGUAUCUGGUAAGCCAAGAGGCGGCGGACAAUGUAUUUUUGUAAAUAACAGCUGGUGCACAAUAUCUAAGUAAGUCUCGAGCUAUUGCUCGCCUUAGGUAGUGCGGUCGAUAGCUUAUGAGAUACUCUAUCUACCUAGAGAGUUUCAAUAUGUAUUUUUCAUAGCUGUUUACAUACCACUAAGACAGUGUUGCAUGAGCUGUAUUCUGCCAUAAGCAAACAAGAACAAGGCCCUGCUAGUAGCUGGGGACUUUAAUGCAGGGAAACUUAAAUCCGUUUUAACAAAUUUCUAUCUGCAUGUUAAAUGUGCAACCAGAGGGGGGGAAAAAACUCUGGACCACCUUUACUCCACAGACAGAGACACAUACAAAGCUCUCCCUCGCCCUCCAUUUGGCAAAUCUGACCAUAAUUAUAUCCUCCUGAUUUCUGCUUACAAGCAAAAAUUAAAGCAGGAAGCACCAGUGACAAGAUCAAUAAAAAAAGUGGUCAGAGGAAGCAGAUGCUAAGCUACAGAAAUGUUUUGCUAGCACAGACUGGAAUAUGUUCCGGGAUUCUUCUGAUGGGAUUGAGGAGUACACCACAUCAGUCAUUGGCUGUAGAAGCCAAUGACGUCAUCCCCACAGUGACCGUACGUACAUACCCCAACCAGAAGCCAUGGAUUACAGGCAACAUCCACACUGAUCUAAAGGCUAGAGCUGCCGCUUUGAAGGAGUGGGACUCUAACCCAGAAGCUUAUAAGAAAUCCUGCUAUGCCCUCUGACGAACCAUCAGGCAAGGCAGGACAGGACUAAGAUUGAAUUGUACUACACCGGCUCUGACGCUCAUUGGAUGUGGCAGGGCUUGCAAACCAUGAGACAACAAAGGGAAGCACAGCCAAGAGCUGUCCAGUGACACAAGCCUACCAGAUGAGCUAAACUACUUCUAUGCUCGCGUCAAGGCAAAUAACACUGAAACAUGCAUGAGAGCACCAGCUGUUCCGGAAGACUGUGUGAUGACACUUUUCACAACUGAUGUGAGACCUUUUAAACAAGUCAACAUUCACAAGACGGAUUACCAGGGACGUGUACUGUGAGCCUGUUUUAUUUUUUUAUUGUACCUUUAUUUAACGAGGCAAGUCAGUGAAGAACAAAUUCUUAUUUUCAAUGAUGGCCUAGGAACAGUGGGUUAACUGCCUGUUCAGGGGCAGAACGACAGAUUUGUACCUUGUCAGCUCGGGGGUUUGAACUUGCAACUUUCCGGUUACUAGUCCAAUACCCUAACCACUAGGCUACCCUGCCACCCUGUGCUGACCAACUGACAUUUUCAGCCUCUCCAAGUCCAAGUCUGUAAUAUCAACAUGUUUUAAGCAGACCACCAUAAUGCCUAUGCCCAAAAUUACUAAGGUAACCAGCCUAAAUGACUACCGACCCGUAGCACUCACAUCUGUAGCCAUGAAGUGCUUUGAAAGGCUGAUCAUGGCGCACAGCAACACCAUUAUCUCAGAAAUCUUAGACCCUCUCCAAUUUGCAUACUGUCCCAACAGAUCCACAGAUGAAGUGAUCUCUAUUGCACUCCACACUGCCCUUCUCCACCUGGACAAAAGGAACACCAAUGUGAGAAUUCUAUUCAUUGACUAGAGCUCGGUGUUCAACACCAUAGUGCCCUCAAAGCUCAUCAAUAAUAAGGACCCUGGGACUAAACACCUCCCUUUGCAACUGGAUCCUGGACUUCCUGACGGGCCGCCCCCAGGUGGUAAGGGUAGGCAACAACACAUCUGCCACACUGCUUCUCAACACAGGGUCCCCUCAGUGGUGCGUGCUCAGUCCCCUUCUGUACUCCCUCUUCACUCAUGACUGCACGGCCAGGCACGACUCCAACACCAUCAUUAAAUUUGCCUAUGACACAACAGUGGUAGGCCUGAUUACGACAAUGAUGAGACAGCCUGUAGGGAGGAGGUCAGAGACCUGGCCGUGUGGUGCCAGGACAACAACCUCUCCCUCAACAUGAUCAAGACAAAGGAGUUGAUUGUGGACUAUAGGAAAAAGAAGACCGAGCGCAUGCCCCCAUUCUCAUUGACGGGGCUGCAGUGGAGCAGGUUGAGAUCUUCAAGUUCCUUGGUGUCCACAUCACCAACAAGCUAUCAUGGUCCAAGCACACCAAGACAGUCAUGAAGAGGGCACGACCACCUAUUCCCUCUUAGUAGCCUGAAAAGAUUUGGCAUGGGUCCUCAGAUCCUCAAAAGGUUCUACAGCUGCAACAUCGAGAGCAUCCUGACAGGUUGCAUCACUGCCUGGUAUGGCAACUGCUCAGCCUUCGACUGCAAGGUACUACUGAGGGUAGUGCGAACAACCCAGUACAUCACUGGGGCCAAGCUUCCUGCCAUCCAGGACCUCUAUACCAGGCGGUGUCAAGAGGAAGGCCCUAAAAAUUGUCAGACACCAGCCACCCUAGUCAUCAAAUCACAUUUUAUUUGUCACAUACACAUGGUUAGCAGAUGUUAAUGCGAGUGUAGCAAAAUGCUUGUGCUUCUAGUUCCGACAAUGCAGUAAUAACCAACAAGUAAUCUAACUAACAAUUCCAAAACUACUGUCUUAUACACAAGUGUAAGGGGAUAAAGAACAUGUACAUAAGGAUAUAUGAAUGAGUGAUGGUACAGAGCAGCAUAGGCAAGGUACAGUAGAUGGUAUCGAGUACAGUAUAUACAUAUGAGAUGAGUAUGUAAACAAAGUGGCAUAGUUAAAGUUUAGACUGAUUAUUUCACUUAUAAUGAUGUCAUGGCUCUAGAAGCUUCUGAUAGGCUAAUUGACAUAAUUUGAGCCAAUUGGAGGUGUACCUGUGGAUGAAUUUCAAGGCCUACCUUUCAGACUCAGUGCCUCCUUUUGCUUGACAUCAUGGGAAAAUAAAAAGAAAUCAGCCAAGACCUCAGAAAAAAAUUGUAGACCUCCACAAGUCUGGUUCAUCCUUGGGAGAAAUUUCCAAACGCCUGAAGGUACCACGUUCAUCUGUACAAACGAUAGUACUCAAGUAACACCAUGGGACCAAGCAGCCGUCAUACCGCUCAGGAAGGAGAUGCUAUCAGUCUCCUAGAGAUGAACGUACAUUGUUGCAAAAAGUGCAAAUCAAUCCCAGAACAACAUCAAACAUCAAAUUGCUACCAAAUACUAAUUGAGUGUAUGUAAACUUCUGACCCACUGGGAAUGUGAUGAAAGAAAUGAAAGCUGAAAUAAAUCAUUCUCUCUACUAUUACUCUGACAUUUCAUAUUCUUAAAAUUAAGUGGUGAUCCUAACUGACCUAAGACAGUGAAUCUUUACUAGGAUUAAAUGUCAGCAAUUGUGAAAAACUGAGUUUAAAUGUAUUUGGCCAAUGUAUGUAAAGGAGUAUGUAAACUUCUGACUUCAUCUGUAUAAUGGCAGUUUCAGUGAGAAGCAUAGCAACAUCAAGGUAACUUUGUAACAUCUGACCCCCUUUUUCCAAAGCCAAACCCAUUAGCCACUGAGUACCUUUUUUAAGAUGCCAAAAUAGAAAAUGCUUUCAGUAACCAUAAUGUUGUUUUUGUUUUCUUACUGUUUCAGUGCAUGUAUUCAAAAAUCUUUGGAUGACGUACUUCCACAGGGCUGCCAUCUACAAAGUUCACUCAAAAAGCCUAUAGUUCUGAACCAAGUUAGAUUUUUAGUUUUAAUUCACAUUCUCAUCUCUUUUAAGCUUCAAUUGGUUAAUGGCUAAUUGCUCAGUUAUCACUUGGCUCAUGUAAAUUCUGUAGUUUCCCCUCUAAACAUCCUAAGUUCAACAUCCUCAUAGUGUUCACAUAUUUCUCAUGUAAAUGUUGUUGCUACAUAAAAAUAUUAAAUAAACAAUUUAUUUGGGAAAU